rnacentral:lncRNA from 1 species
AAGUUCAGGAUUAAGACGGGGCACAUCCUGUCUGAAGUAUCCAGGAAUUACGGUGAAACAGUCUCAAAGUCACCGUCUAAAUGUUGCCGGGUCCGACCCUGUCGUGAUGGGUGAAAGUGAAACGUAUUUUGCACACGAAAUGUUUUUCAAUAAGUCUCACGCUAAGGAGGACUUAUCUCUCACCAUGCGUCGAAAUUCAAGUACCUAGAACAGGACACAUGCUGUCGCUGUCGGCUGCAGUAUAAAGAGUUUUUAUGGCAUUUUCAGACAGAGGUCUGGAGAAUGUUUAUUUUGGAACAGGAAAUGCCAACAUAAAUAAGUCAAUGGUACUGAUAAAUCGCUCAAAUAUUGAAUUCUCAAAACUGGCCUGAGAUUACGACGCAGCAGGUUUCGUGGGAACUCAUGGAUUUGUUAUUGCAAAGAUAGCGAGUUCGUAUUGGUCGAAAGAAAAAAUCAUGGUUUUUGUAGGAUGUCCUGAGUAUGAUUUUCUAGCUAACCCGAUUGGUAGAGAAAUGUUUCGAAUGAUCAUUAUUGGACAAAGUAGGUGAUGGCUGUUAGAAUGGGAGGUAACUUCUUUUUUUUUUAAAGGGGGAACCCAAGUUUGAGGAGAUCGAGUAGGCAGUUCCAUCUGGGCCAUCAUCAAGUUAAGUUCUGUUGAAUCCGUCACCAAGUACAGUUCCAUUUGAGAGUUCUGUCAGGUCUUUCAUCAAGAAGUUUAUUUUUAAGUUGAGUUAGCCUGGGAGGGUCCGUUGCUUGCAGCGGUACCUGAAGGGUUGAGUUAAAAGUUUAGUUUGAAGUUGCAGACAGUUUAAAGUGACGUUAAAAUUCAGUUACCAGUUCUUCGCGGCUAAGAAAUCAGCGCGGCAAUGCAGUGUGGUGGAUAAAUGGAACUCCGGCAAUUUUCGUUGCUGUCAAACGAAUUGUCGAUAAUUUAUAAAUAGCAUUUUUGGUAUUCUUUUUUUUAUGCAGUCAGAUCCAGGAAUUAUGCAGAAUAAGUUUUCUUUUUUCUGUUAGUAGUUUCAACCCCCUAGGAUUCCUAAGGUUGCUAGUAAAUUUUGAUCCCAUUUAAUGAACUUUUAAUAUUUUUGUUCGAGUACAAAGCUGAAUUUUUCUAUGAUAAUUUUUUUUAUAAACUACGGAUACUCUUAUGUACCUGUAAAUAUUGUGAAGUGACUUUCGCGUAGUGAAAUAGCGUCUGGGACUUACAAACCAACCAACAACCAGAAGAAACCAGGACAAUGAUUGUAAAGGUAUCAUUUUUAUGUUUGUAGAACCUUUUGUUUCAUUUUUUUUUUUAUUUGGUAAUCUGGAUCUCAAUCUGUAACACCGAGAGAUCAGAAAUUCAUUUUCUUUGCUAUUUUUUAAUAAAUAAUGUUUUGAUUUGCAAAAUACAAAUCUUAUUAUUUCCUUUCCUUUUCUCUUGCAUCAUAAGAACAAUAAAGAAUUGGCUGAGUAUAGAAUAUUGAGUAUAGAGUAAAUAAGUUACAGAAAACAAGAGACAUCCUUGCCAGAAAUCAAAUGUAGAGGAUGUACAGAGGUAGACACAAAGUGAUCAACCAUCUGAACAGGUAAUAGCCAGGUGGCUGGAAAAACCGGUAAGGAAAAUAUGUACAAAACCAAAACAAGUAUCUACAGAAAAAUAUGUCCAGAAGUCCACUACAUGAUGAAUCAAGUAUCCAACAAGAAAGAAGUCCUUCCUUUGAAUAAGAAAAGAAAUAUGGUAAAAAAUAAAAUGUACAUAUGAUUUAAUGCAAUAAAUGUUUUCAUUUUUA